CAGGGAGACAAAACUAAGAUCAUGAUGUCUAUUUUUUAUUAUCAGACCAUGAUCCUGUCACCUUAGGUCGAUCGGUACCUCAGAUUAUUUGUCGAAAUUUUCAAGAUAUAUUCUGAAUUUAUUGGCAUGUGAUUUCAGUUCCUAAACUUUUGUCUAGGUCACACCCAGCAAAAGGGUACUCCUGGGCCAUUAGCUCAGGUGGUUAGAGCGCACCCCUGAUAAGGGUGAGGUCCCUGGUUCAAGUCCAGGAUGGCCCAUCGAUGUUGGGGGUAUAGCUCAGUUGGUAGAGCGCCUGCUUUGCAAGCAGGAUGUCAGCGGUUCGAGUCCGCUUACCUCCACUGAAAACUAUCCUGCUAACUAAAUUUCCGGAGAAAAUUUGUAGAUGUGUCUUAGAAUUUUCUAUUAGAAUAGAACCUAGCUUCUUAUCACCUUAUUAAUAGUUGAUAACAUGCUGGGCUCCCAUGGUUUAUUCCAUGAGAAUUCAGUAGAACCUUGAAAACUGCAUAGAUUAGAAAGAAUAAAGCAUCUCAUGGAUGCAUAAUUCUGAUUUGAUUUUUUAGCUUCAAAACUAAACUUUCAAUUUAAGAAUUCAUGUUUAAUUCUUGAGUAAUAGCCGAGCACAAUUGAUAUUGUGUUUGUAUUUAA
rnacentral:tRNA from 1 species